CCACCGGUCUGAACUCAAAUCAUGUAAAAUUCUAAAGGUCGAACAGUACCUUCUAUUAUAAUCUCUACUUUAUAAAGAACUUUUAAUUCAACAUCGAGGUCGCAAACUUUCUUGUCGAUAAGAACUCUUAAAGAAAAUUACGCUGUUAUCCCUAAAGUAACUUAAUCUUAAAUCCCUUUUAGGAUCAUUAAACCAAAUAUAACUGUAAAAAAAAAAAAGACAAUUAUUGUAUAUUUUAUCCUUGUCACCCCAACCAAAUACUCCAAAAUAAUAUCAUUAAAUAAAACUAAUUACUACCUUAUAAAUAUAAAGUUUUAUAGGGUCUUAUCGUCCCUUCAAAUUAUUUAAGCCUUUUCACUUAAAAGUUAAAUUCAAUAUAUUAAUUUAAGACAGAUUAUUUCUUGUCCAACCAUUCAUUCUAGUCUUCAAUUAAAAAACUAAUGAUUAUGCUACCUUUGCACGGUUAUAGUACCGCGGCCUUUUAGUUCCCAAUGGGCAGGUCAGACCGUAUA
rnacentral:rRNA from 1 species